UGCCAGCCGCCGCGGUAAUACGAAGGGGGCUAGCGCUGUUCGGAAUCACUGGGCGUAAAGCGCACGUAGGCGGACUGUUAAGUUAGAGGUGAAAUCCCGGAGCUUAACUCCGGAACUGCCUUUAAAACUGGUAAGCUAGAGGAUGUGAGAGGUGAGUGGAAUUCCGAGUGUAGAGGUGAAAUUCGUAGAUAUUCGGAAGAACACCAGUGGCGAAGGCGACUACCUGGACCGAUAUUGACACUGAGGUGCGAAAGCGUGGGUAGCAAACAGGAUUAGAUA
rnacentral:rRNA from 1 species